ACCUAGAUAGUUUAAAUAGAAUUAUAAUUUGUGGUAUUAUAGGUGUAAAAUUGCUCUGGGUU
rnacentral:tRNA from 1 species